UGUUUCUAGGGUGCCUUGUGAUUGAAGUGCUUGUAGUUAAUUACCUUACAGGUCUGCUAGUCACACAGUUGCAAACUGGUAUCAUCCAUCCAUAAACACCUCACCUGAACAUUCAUCAGUGAUAAGCUCCUCAGUUUUUCCAUGGUUUUCAGGUGAAGGGGAGGUUCCUUGUGGUUCUUCCUUGAUAAAGGUGGAAUCCAUUUCAGCCAUUGAUUCUACAAAUGAAAGGGUAGUUUGCUUUUGCGGUAUCAACGUCAAGCUAUGUUGGUCAACCAGUCAGCACAUGUUUUUGAGGGUUCCUCAUGUCAAUCCCAAAAGUGCUUGCUACAUGACAUAUCUGUAAGCAAGUUUGACUUUGGAGCAGAAAGUCGCCCUCAUCCGCCAAGUAGAAAAGGAUGAAGAUUCGAAAUGUGACAUUGCCAAGACUUCAAUACUUUACGCUCUCAACCAUACUGAAGUAGAAGCACGGUAUACUGGACGGCUUCGAGAAAAGUUUGUCAAGCCAGAGACGCACAUCUGUGAUUCGAAACCCCCUGAUGUGGAGGCCACACUUUUGGAAUGCCCAAACAGAGCCUAAGCAUUGCACCGACUCAGACCUGUACAGGAGGGUUCACAAGCUCGUUGAAAAGGAAGCUGACGACGACUUCGAUUCUUUCAUGCUUGUGGAUGCGGACGAGCCCGCUGUGGUGCCACCACAGAUGGGCAUAUCUUCGAAGUUGUGUUGUGUGCAAAAAGUGAAAGCGAAGACUUGGAGGACGUUACUACGAGAAAUUCUGUCGAAGGCGGAGACCUGUAAUAUACUUAGUCUUUUGUGCGACAUAGUCUGAUGCGGUGGAGGUGAUUACGCCCUUAUGCAGGUCCUCAUGAAACUGGAAAACACGCUCUUGCUGCAGUCUGU